GUGUGUGUGUGUGUAUCGUGUAAACUUACCGAUGAACAGACUACUGAGAUCAUUUAACUGCAAGUGACAGCUUGAGUGUGUGUCAAAAGAGGCGGUUGAUUGUACAGAAAUGAUGAACUCGAUACAAAACUAUAAAGAGACGAUUAGCAGACUUCUCUUGCAGAACAAAGAGCUGAAAUUACAAUUGGAAGAGAUGCACACCGGAUUUGUUAAAGUCACAAACGACAAGAUGCAGCUGGCUAGUGAUCUCCAGACAUACGAGCAUCACAACAAACAGCUGCAGACGAAGUUGGACGAACAAUCAACAGACGAUGUGACUAUUGCUGAGGAGAUGCUAGCGGGCGAUACGUUAGACGGUCAUUUGAACAGCAUUCUGUCUGUCGCAUGCAGAUGGAAGGACUGAGAGAAGAGAUCCAACAAUUACGUGAUAAAAAUGGUUAUCUUAGCCAGCAGUCGUUAGAGAUUUCUCAUGCAGUAAGUCCUGAUCACGAGGAAGUAUCUCGGCAAACAGAAUAACUGAAACAGAAAUUGUAUGCCUCACAGAACACGAUACGGCAGUUGUCUGCUGAGAACGCUGGUUUGCAGAACAUGCUCUUGACUCUUCAUCAUCAGACACAGAACGAGAGCAGCAUUGUGUCAGAAAUAUCGGACAGUUCGUCUCGCAGUAAUGUGGACAUACAAAAUCACAAGACGAAUGAUGAUGUCGACCAUGUGUUUGAUUCAUCGACGCAUGUGCAUGUGCUGAAAUUCGAUGUAGUGUAGGACAUUGAUGAUAUUUAGUUAAUCAUCUUCAAUCACAUUGACGAAUCCCUGUGUUUUC